UUACGACCAUAACAAGUUGAAACACCGGUUCUCGUAUGAUCACCGAAGUUAAGCCACGUCGAACCUAGUCAUUACUUACAUGAUUGACCGCUUAGGAAUACCAGAUGCUGUAAG